AGGUUACGUGUUCUACUCUUUUAUGUAUGCGAGACUCUAUGCACGAAAAUACAAUUGAAAGUUAUUCGUGACUCUAUAUAUUUUACUUUUCUGUCUAUGACUAAUGGCUCUAAUGGACGCUUCAUAUUGAAGAUCUUUUGACAAGCAAAUUAUUUCAUUCUUUUGAAGCAUUUAUUUAAUCAUUAUUUAUAUGAUUAAUAUUUUAUAUGAUUAAUGUAGAACGUAUUAGUUAUGCAGUGUGCAGUUAAAAUGUUUAAAAUGGAAUCGAUCAAGUAUAUAGUUGGACCUUAAUGGAAAUUCUAUUCGCGUAUUUUGUUAUUUGUAGAUGUUUUCAUCAAAUGUAUGUUUAUCAAAUAAUAAUUAAAUUCUACAAAAAAAUCAUAACCUCAAUGAUUAUUGCAAUGUUGAGUCAAAAGGUUAGUAAAAAUGAGAUAUACAAAUACAAAUUUAAUAUUUGUAGCCCCUUCAGUAACAAUAAUAUAGUUCGGCUAAACAGGAAUAAAAACUAAUACAAUGGUUUUCAAUUGAAGAAAUAUAAUGACUCAGAACAUAAUAAAGAUAUUUGCUCAAAUAAAGAAUAUGAAUGCAAAGUUAGAAUAUAAAAUAAUAAUCCACCAUCAUCACGAAAAAAUGAUUUGAAGAAGAAUAAAAUUUUUUACAGCAUUAAAUGAUGACACUCGUGUCAUGUGUCAUGGAAUUGUUUUAGCAAAAAUAUGAUUUAAAAGUCGGUGGAUGAAAUUUGGCUGAACUGACAAGAAACAAUUAAGACAAUAUUUGAGCAAUACGUUCAUAAAGGAAUUAGCUGCACUUUGUUCUUAAUAAAUAAUGAAAGUAAAUAGAGCAAAAAUAUAUUUAAAAAUUCAGAGACUAAAAUCUUCUUUAUUGUCUAAAGUGUAAUUCGAUGAAGAAUUAAUAUGUUUUUGGUAUUGUUGAAAGGACUGCCUAGCUGUCAAUAACUUGAAAAUAAUGAAUAUUUUUAGAGAUACAUUUACAAACAGAAAGCAGUGAAAUGGUUUCAAUUUGAUAAACAAAGGUUGCCAAGAAUUUUACACAAGAC